CCUACGGGUGGCUGCAGUGAGGAAUCUUGCGCAAUGGGGGCAACCCUGACGCAGCCACGCCGCGUGCCGGAAGACGGCCCUAUGGGUUGUAAACGGCUUUUGGAUGGGAAGAACCCCGGAGUUUCGACUCCGGCUGACGGUACCGUUCGAAUAAGCACCGGCUAACUCCGUGCCAGCAGCCGCGGUAAUACGGAGGGUGCAAGCGUUGUCCGGAAUCAUUGGGUGUAAAGGGUGCGUAGGCGGAGGCUUAAGUCGGAGGUGAAAUCUUGCCGCUCAACGGUAAGCGUGCCUUCGAUACUGGGUUUCUUGAGUUCGGAAGAGGUUGGUGGAAUUCGUGGUGUAGCGGUGAAAUGCAUAGAGAUCACGAAGAACACCGGUGGCGAAGGCGGCCAACUGGUCCGAUACUGACGCUGAGGCACGAGAGCGUGGGGAGCGAACAGGAUUAGAUACCCGAGUAGUC
rnacentral:rRNA from 1 species